CCCUGAGUGCCUGUUAGAGGAGACUCAUGGUGACAUGGCAGAUGAGGAUGUUCCAUCUAAUUCCAUGCUCCUCCUGAAGGCCUGCUGGAAGAACUUAUACAGGCUAUGGCAGUAGAGGAGGUCCCAUGUAAUUUGAAGGUGGCCUGGAUAAUGGCCAACAAUGGUAGGUAUUCAAGAUCAGAACUUCCUGAGGAAAAUCCUAAAUGAUAAGAAAGGUGGGUCUUACUUGUGGGCUUUAGUCUAGAGAGGUUCUUCCCCACUUUCACUCACAGUUUCAGCUGUCUGGGGGAAAUAAGAAGGGAUUUGGUGAAGGAAACCAAUAUUCCAGGUAAGCACUAGGGUCAUAUUCCUUGAGUACUUGUGUUCUGUUUAGGUAGCAUGAGUCUGUGUACAUGUGAGGGAUGUGUAUCCAUAUGUGAUGUGAUACUCAUUGUGCAUGUGUUUAAUGUUUGGGGAAAAUGUGAUUUAAAUUGCUGUUGCUGAGCACCACACAGGGCAUCUGCAGCACAAUUUAGUUGUAACCAUUUUUCAAAAGCCCAGUAGGCUUUUCUACUAGUUAUCUGGGGUACUGACAAUGUAGAGAGAACAUUUCCAUCCUCAUAAAAUGCUCUCUGGGCAGGUGCUUAGAGUCUGGCACUGGGUCUGUUCAUUGAACUCACCUGGCACACAGCAUGUCCACAACAGUCAGAAAUCCAGACUAAGAUAGGACAUGAGUGUUGUGAUGGUCCAGCUAAAUGGGGAAGUGAGAAGUUGUGAGGGGAUUUCUUCACCUCCUUUCACUUGGAAACUGCUUGCAGUGUCCUGUUGGAGACUUCUGACUUCAUGGAGCCCAGGGAAGGUCUGAGAUCAAAGGGGAAAAUCACAGUGAUCUUCACUGUCCAGUAAGGCCUCAAGUGUAUAACAGAGGGAUGGGUGUGCCACUCUAAUAACUUUCUGUCAAUCUUUUCAUUCCUAAAUAUUGGAUGGCAGAUAAAAGAUAUGAUUCCAGCCAUGAAGAAGAUGACAAUCCAUGUGGGUAAAACUUCUCAAGGAAGGAUCCAAUAGGAAAGGAGUGCCAGGACCACCUGCCAUUUGUAUUCCACCUGCUAAUUUCUAGAUUGAGCAAAGGGAGGAGAAACUUGAAAGUAGAGGAAAUAUAUCUGGAGGGCUACUUUUGUUAUUUUCAUAUUUGAGCACAUAAUAGAGGUCUUAGAACCUGGGCUUUAAGGGUUUUGUGUUUGUCAUCAUCUUUUCUUGCUUUGCUUUCCCACUAGCCCUGUUCUUUGCAUUCCUUGACCAUCAUCAAAGAUCAAAACCUUUGGUUUCCUAGGCUUACUGCCCAUGUUCCCAUGUCCUGGAGAGGUGUGCUGGGAAGUAUAUACUUGAACAAACUUGUAGUAUCCACUUAUGACCCAAAUAUAAAUCCUGGGAUUAGGAAUAAAUCAGAAUUUUCUCUCAAUUGACAGUGGUUUGUGUCUAGCUGGCUUCUCCAUACUUUCCAAGGCCUGGCAGAGUUUCUGAAGGACUAGUGUGAAGGGGCUGCUGGCCCACUUCACACACUGGCUCACACAGUCCCAUGGUCCUGGCCUCCUGGAACUGACCAGGCCCAGGACAGUGCCUCUGGGCAGCAGGGACAGGGUGAAACUUCUCCUCUUAGAACCCACAAAACCAGCUAGAUAGCUCUUCCCUGUUGCCACACUACAGAUGUUCUUCUUCCUGUUAUCUUUCCUCAGUCUUUUCCAGGUGCCCUUCCCUCCCAAUUCUUCCAAGGCUUGAUAAAACACUGGAAGUUUCCACUGAUUUAAGUGGUUAUACCUCCUGUACAAUUACUGUCUGAAUUGAAGACAGGGAAUCUGGGGAAGUUACUUUAUCUCUAAUUUCAUGUUCAUUCUCACUAAUGAGCUAGAAAACCUAUAGGGAUGUUGUGAGGACAAAGUGUCUCCCAUGAACCUACAGGUACAGGACAAUCAUUUGAUUGGUGGGGUUGGUGGUCACUCUCUGCCAUAGGACCUAAUUCAACUCCAGGCCUCUGACAGUUGCUCCAUGUGUAAUGAUGGAUUGGAUAAUUGAUCACUUGUUUAACUGGAGAGGUUCACAGUACACUCUUGAUUGUUCCUUUAAUGACCUCAUGUCAGAGAAAAAAAUUUAGUGGAAGUGGGAAAAGAGAAAGAAUAUCGGCAAUACUUAGGAGGGAAAGAAGCAAGGUGGUAUUGAGGGAGGUAAAGAGGAAGAAAGGCUCCAUCAUGAACAGAAAGAUAUGGAGACAGUGUCUGCCAGCUUAGAGAAAAGGGAAGACAGGCAUUUAUUCCUGUCCAUAUUUAAGGUUCUUGAAGCCCAGAAAAGGCACCUUAGAGAUCCUAGACCCACUCCCUCAUGGCAGAGGUGAAGCAAUCAAGGCACUGGGAGAGGAGUAUAGCAGUGAGGACAGAAUUGUUUCCGGGGAUCUGAUCACACCCUGACACCAACAAAAGGGCUCAGUUUCUCCCCUCAACUCUAACUCAACUCUUUCCUUUACCAAGGCCACCCAAUCAUUGUUACCACCCUCAUCCAUUCAGAGGCAUUCUUUACUGAUUCUGAGGAUUCUGACAGAGAAGGCAAUUUCCAUGUAAUUUAUUUCCUUUUUUGUCUCUUUAUUAAUCACUCUGUUUCUUAUCUCUAAGCUUCUGUUUGUACCUCUUCCCUACUCCAUCUUCCUAUAUUUAUUUGAUGGCCACCUUGAAGGCCAUGGUCUCACCAAAGAAACUUAGGUCAUGGGAAUGACAAUAUUUAUAAAACUUUCUCCUCCCUCCUCUCCUACUUUUCUAGCAUUGCCUUGAUUUCCAAAUCUACUUUACACCUUGCACAUUCUCACAUAAUCCUGAACGGAUCAGGCAAGAAGCUGUGCUGCAAGCCAGAUACCUUGGGCCACACCCUGUAGAGGAGACACCUGUGUAGUUCAUUCUGGGCUGGGGUCCCCCUUACAAAUGUGUUACUACAUGUGGUAGCUCAUGACAUGCAAGUUUUUUUCUCUUUCCUACAGCUGUCUACUCUCAAUCAGGAGGAGAAGAACAUAAACCAGGAGAAACAAGAGGAAAAUGAGGAAAAUGAAAUGAAAAUCAGCAUUACUGAGCUCACAGGGGUUGCUGCCAUUGAGCAUGAACUUGGAUGUGGAGACAAUAACUAGAUGGUUAAAAUACAUGCAGGC